rnacentral:RNase_P_RNA from 1 species
AGCAGAGGGAGCUCCAUCGCGCAGGUCCUUAAAGUAGGCCUUGUGAGGAAAAUCCGGACAACGUAGAGCACCACACCAUCUAACGGAUGGGGUUCUGACCCACCGGUCAGAAUACAGAUAGUGUCGCAGAAAAUUACCGCCCCGAGCAAUUGGGGUAAGGGUGAAAACGUGUGGUAAGAGCACACGCAGAAGUGAGGUAACUCAUUUUUGGGAUAAACCUUGUGGGUUGAAAUGUCAUGUAUAUUCCGGGCUGCCGCAAUGGCAGAUUGAGUGGCUCGUUCAAUCGCAUUUAUGCGAUCGGAAGGGGUGGACAGCUAGAUCACUAUUGUGAAGUAGUGACCAGAUAAAUGAUGGAGAUUCUGACAGUAUUUGUCAGAAUACAGAAUCCGGUUUAUAUCCCUCUGUAUUUU